CGGGACGGGUGAGUAAUGUCUGGGAAACUGCCUGAUGGAGGGGGGUAACUACUGGAAACGGUAGCUAAUACCGCAUAACGUCGCAAGACCAAAGAGGGGGACCUUCGGGCCUCUUGCCAUCGGAUGUGCCCAGAUGGGAUUAGCUAGUAGGUGGGGUAAAGGCUCACCUAGGCGACGAUCCCUAGCUGGUCUGAGAGGAUGACCAGCCACACUGGAACUGAGACACGGUCCAG
rnacentral:rRNA from 1 species